rnacentral:rRNA from 1 species
AACGAACGCUGGCGGCAUGCCUAACACAUGCAAGUCGAACGAACCCUUCGGGGUUAGUGGCGCACGGGUGCGUAACGCGUGGGAAUCUGCCCUUUGCUUCGGAAUAACAGUUAGAAAUGACUGCUAAUACCGGAUGAUGUCUUCGGACCAAAGAUUUAUCGGCAAGGGAUGAGCCCGCGUAGGAUUAGGUAGUUGGUGGGGUAAAGGCCUACCAAGCCGACGAUCCUUAGCUGGUCUGAGAGGAUGAUCAGCCACACUGGGACUGAGACACGGCCCAGACUCCUGCGGGAGGCAGCAGUGGGGAAUAUUGGACAAUGGGCUCAAGCCUGAUCCAGCAAUGCCGCGUGAGUGAUGAAGGCCUUCGGGUCGUAAAGCUCUUUUACCAGGGAUGAUAAUGACAGUACCUGGAGAAUAAGCUCCGGCUAACUCCGUGCCAGCCGCCGCCGUAA